GCAAAUAUAGUUUAAUGGUAAAACUUUAGCCUUCCAAGUUAAGUAUAACAGUUCAACUCUGUUUAUUUGCU
rnacentral:tRNA from 1 species